rnacentral:rRNA from 1 species
AGUGAACGCUGGCGGUAGGCCUAACACAUGCAAGUCGAACGGCAGCACAGUAAGUUCUUGCUCUUACGGGUGGCGAGUGGCGGACGGGUGAGGAAUACAUCGGAAUCUACUUUUUCGUGGGGGAUAACGUAGGGAAACUUACUCUAAUACCGCAUACGACCUACGGUUGAUAGCAGGGGAUCUUCGGACCUUGCUCGAUUGAAUGAGCCGAUGUCGGAUUAGCUAGUUGGCGGGGUAAAGGCCCACCAAGGCGACGAUCCGUAGCUGGUCUGAGAGGAUGAUCAGCCACACUGGAGCGGAGACACGGUCCAGACUCCUACGGGAGGCAGCAGUGGGGAAUAGUGGACAAUGGGGGCAAGCCUGAUCCAGCCAUAGCGCGUGGGUGAAGAAGGCCUUCGGGUUGUAAAGCCCUUUUGUUGGGAAAGAAAAGCAGCAGGUUAAUACCCCGCUGUUCUGACGGUACCCAAAGAAUAAGCACCGGCUAACUUCGUG